UACAGAGGUCCCGAGCGUUGUUCGGAUUCACUGGGCGUAAAGGGUGCGUAGGUGGCAUAGAAAGUUUGAUGUGAAAGCUCAGGGCUUAACCCUGAAAUGGCAUUGAAUACUGCUGUGCUGGAGGUUUGGAGGGGGGACUGGAAUUUCUUGGGUGUAGCAGUGAAAUGCGUAGAUAUCAAGAGGAACACCAGUGGCGAAGGCGAGUCCCUGGACCAAGUACUGGACGCUCAUGUGCGAAAGCGUGGGGAGCAAACAGG
rnacentral:rRNA from 1 species